GAUGUCAGUUGUGGUCCUCGG
rnacentral:misc_RNA from 1 species